UGGUGGCGGGGAGCGGGGGCGGGAGGGAGGAGGUGAGCCCACCUCCCUGCUCCCCACGGAAGGCAGCGUGCAGAGCACCUGUGCUGUGGAUGCAGCACGAGACUUCAGACUCAGGAGGUGCCCUCACAUUGUGCUGUUUUGUAUGGAAGUCCUUGAUUCAUGCUCAUACUUUUGAGACAAAUGUUUGGUCUCUGCGGGGCAUUUUCUUUUUUUUGGAAAUGGGGUUGCUCUCUGUCACUCAGGCUGGAGUGCAGUAGCGUGAUCAGGGCUCACUGCAGCCUUGACGUCCUGGGCUCAAGUGCUUCUCCCACCUUGGCCUCCCAGGUAUCUGGGACCACAGGUAUGGGCCACCAAGCCUGGUUCUGUGGCCUAUUGUUAUUUAAUGAUGUUUCCAUGUGGCUGCAUUUAGUUCAUGGUGGUUAUUCUAUUGCAGUUUAUGCCACUGGACCUUUCUCUUUAAAUAGCUGCCCCUGUUUCUCUGUCCCCCUGGGGACAGCCUCACAGGGGUCUGAAAUGCGCAGAUUCUCCUUGUGGUGGGAGGAGGUCCCUUGGGUCUCCUGUGACCUCGCCUCCCUCCAUGUUUCCUGCCAACUGGACACUUCCUGGCACAGAUGCACAGGUCGAUGUCACGUCCAUUCGUUAGCAGCUGCUUGCGGCUGAUAAGGAGGGCUGAAAACCCUUUGCUGCUCUGUCCACUGAGAAGUGGUGCCUCAGUCCCCUCCCCUUGAGUCUGGGCUGGCCACAGGGACCCACUUGACCAGGAGACUGCAGCAGAGAGACACUGCCGGACUGCCGAGGUGGCCGAGAAGCCUCAGUCUCCACCCCGCUCUCUCUCCAGAUGUUCCCUCUCAGGACGUUCACUCUUGCCACCUGCCCACCACACUGUGAGUCGCUCAUUCCCACGGGGAGGCCACGUGCAGGCCCUUGCUGCGGCAGCCCUGGCCGAGCUCCCAGGGUGAGCCAUGUGAGAAAGCCACCGUGCCAAUCUGCUAGGGCUGCCCUCAACACUACCUGCUCUGGGUGGUUUAGGCAACAGAAAUGUAUCAUCUCACAGUUACAGAGCUGGGAAGUCCGAGGUCCGGUUGCCAUGGAGCUGGCUCCUCCCAAGGGCCUGGAGACAGAAGCUGCUCUGUGCCCCUCCCUGGCGUCUGGUGUUUGCUGCCAUCUUUGCUGUCCCUUGGUUUGUAGACACACAUGACUCCAGCCUCCGCCUUCAUCUUCACAUGGCAUUCUGCUGUGUGUGUCUGUGUCUUUCCCCUUUUUAGAUCUUUUCUGCUCAGAGACCCCUCCCUUUGAAGAGAGAGAGAGAGCUGUUUCUCUUCUGCCUGUUAAACCUCCAUUUCUAAAUUCCUCGUGUAUGUCUGUAUCUGAAAUUUUCCUGGUGCAAGACAAUGAACCCCAAGGUGUGUACCCCAGACAAUGUGUCUGCUUCAUAUGGGGACCUCGUCCAGGAUACCAAGGUGUGACAUUUUGAAACGGUGAGUAGAGGAGCGGACUCUAACUCUGUCCUUUCAUUUCAAGGCUCUCAGCCUCCACUUUAGAACCAAAUCAAACCAAAUACAGAGCCCUCUUCAGACAUUUAUAAAUGAUUAACCUGGCUGCCAGCCUUAUAAGACUUGGGGACAGACUUUCUGGAGACAACAUGGAGAAUCCCCCAGCACCCGUGGGUUGCUGGGCAUAUUGGCCGUGUUUGAACCAGCUUCCUUUCACAGAGGACUUAACCAUUGCCCUGGGGAAACUGAGGAUUUCUGGCAGACACUACCUCCUCCCUGUGUUAUCCAAAGGCUUCUGGACUGACUGCAGCCUCUGACCGUCCGAUGGGGUUUGGCAACAGGAUUUCCAACUUUUCUGUCACAAUUUCCUCCUUUCCCGUCCGCGGCUGUCACGUCUCUUAUCUCCUCUGCAUAUUCAGCAUGUGGGAAGUUUUACGGUUCAGGGAAGGGAUCUGGUUUGGGAAAAGUCAGCAAAUGUUGUAGUAACCGGGGGCGCAGCUCAAGGGAGAUGGUCUUUCUGAGUUUCUAGGAAUAGAAGGUCCUUGCUCCAAAAUAAGAUUGUGGGGGGUUACCAGCCUUCCCCGAGUGCUGUGUAAGUGUCACACAUGAUGGAACCAAUCUGUGAGCCCUACGUAAAUCACACACUGCCUCCUCAAGCUGGAGUAUAAAAUCUGGCACAUCCGCCCGCAGUCUUUUCCCCUCAGAAGCCCCUCUCUCUCUAGAGAGAGCAGUUCCUCUUCUCUUCUCUUCUGCCCAUUAAACCUCCACUCCUAAUAAAAACCACAAUUCAUUUUUUUAUUAGAACACCAGUGUAUUGGGUCAGGGCCCGCCCUAUUUAAGUGUGACUCCAUCUUAACUCCACAGAUUACAUCUGCAACAGCCCAAUUUCCAAAGAAGCUCACAUUCUCAAACACUGGGGGUAAGAAUUCAACAUAGGACUUUUUAGGUGGUGGCCACACUUCGACCCAUAACAGCCAUCACUGGGUGUUCAGCCUGGUGGUGCCUCCAGACAACUCCAGCUCCAGACACCAUCUGACGGAGAUCUCCUGAGAGCCCCUGAGUGAGAACCGCCCAGCUGAGCCCGGCCACCCCAGAGCUGCAGGAGUUGAUUUUAGCCACUGAGUUUGGGGUGGUGUUUACAUUGCCACAGAUGACUGUGGCCUUCCCUGGUUUUCAGGGAACAAUUGAAUAUCAGCCUGGGGACAUCAAUUCUGAGUUUGUUAGGAUGCCAAGGUCCAGUGUAGGUCAAUUCCUGUACAUUUUAGCAGUGACACUUGACAGUGUCUGAUUGUGCAAGAUUUAAAACGAAGUUCCUGUGGGCAGCCAGUUAUGUCACUGGGUGCUGUUACUUCUAACAACAGCAGCACCGUGCACGUGGCUGGCGGCUCUGGUAGCUUCUUUCUUCUAUCACCCGACAGCCAGCCAGCUCCUGUGCUGCACGUGAGAUCCCAUGGGCCCUGCAGUCAAGCAGAUGUGAUCCCAGGCGUGGCCUUGUGGUGGGGCUUGAUUUCUGUUCUUCUUAGCCUAUUGAUUCUGACACCACCACUCCAGCAUCAGCAGCAGCAGCCUUACUGUCUAUUUACUGCUCACCGUGGGCAGUGCAGCCUGGCUCUGCCUGGGCCAUCAAGCCAGGCCGAGGGGCGGCUUGCCCCUUCUGCUUCAUGGAGGCAGAGGCUGAGUCUCGCUGGGGUUGAGUGUGACUGAGACCACACAGCCGGUGGGCAGGGGACCUGGGAUUUGGACCAGCCUCACCUGCACGUGGGGCCAGCAAUCGUGAAUCAGAAACAAAGCAGGGCAGGCCGAGGGGAAGGGCACUGAGGGGUGGGGCGUGGGGCUCUGUCCUCCUAACUUCUCUGAUGAUGAUGGUCUCCCGGGUUGCUGUUGAACAUUCAGGGCGUGGGGCUUCCUCCUGGAAAUCCUCCUGGGGCAGGUGGGGGACGGGAGAUCUGUUAUUUGGAAUCAGUGGAUUCCAAAUUGCAAACAUGGCUGUUGGAGGAGUUCCGUUCCUGCGUUCAUCCCACCCCUCUGAUCUCAAAGCCUAGGCGGCUAGGGCUGGAGAUUCUGUGAAUUACCAAGACUGGUUUUCAUGCCUCCAGUAGGUUGUAUGUUUAAGUACAUUUUAAGCAUCAUGGAUAAUGUAGGGAUGACUUACAUACUUAUAUCAGUUGAAUGAAAGGCAAUUGGCAUUCGAGACAGGGCUCUUGUCAUGAAAAUGUGUCUGAGAAAGUGACAGAAACCAUUUGAAACAGCGCUCAGGCAGGCAUUUUUGAUUCUGAGAACUAUGGCUUACACAGAAGGAAAGAUGGCGUGGGAGGGACCAGCUGGCCCCGGCUCCAGGUUGUCAGUAGGUGCCUGGUUGUCAUGAGAGAGGGAAGCACGGGGCAGGGCACGGGCCUUCUCACAGAGAGGAGAGCAGGAAUCACCCUGGAGAAUGCCUCCCGAGCUGCUUCCUGCUCACGGAACACCUGAUCUCCACCUUGGUAGUUUCCAGGGCGUGUGUCGUCCUGGCAGGCGCAGCACACAGAGGUGCGGUCAGCUGCCUGCUUGGAGCCCGCACGGCUAACAGCUCCUUAGAGUUCUCGGCAUUGCAUGUGCACACAUCUCAUUUCUAGGGAGUUAUCAAGUGAGUUUCCCUGCAGACUGAUAUUACUAUCUUUUUCCUGGCAUGUACUUCCAAAGCCACCUGCUCAUAAAGGAAGAAAUUGUUCUUUCACUAGAGCCUGACUGGCUCUUGAUACCGCUUCCACUGCAUCAAUCUGGUACCAAGGGGACUCACUUCUGUGUCUGCGGCCCCAACAUCUGAACCCUUGCAAGAUCCAGGGAGCCACUCCUUCCUAGGCUUUGUGUGGGAGCCUAGCACUCCCUGCCUACCGCCCCUGGGAGGCUCUGUCUCGGCUGGAAGCCACUGGGGCUAAGGUCUGGGUGUGGCCAGCCUGCCCUCUGGGAUGUGUUGGCUCUGGGCUCUCUUCCUGCUUCCAAGAUCCACAUUCCCCAAACGGAGCACCCUUCCCUUCCCUUCAGUACGAUCACUUCCCGGUGUCAUCAUCCACCACGCCCGGCACCUGCCCCGAGCACUGACCCCUGGAGUCCGCGCAGCAAGUUUAUCUGUGGGGUGGGGCUGUGGGGCAUCAGGCAGGGAGGUGAUGAUCCUCUACCACAGUGAGGGCCACGUAGAGGGGAGGCAGUGGAACCCUUUGGGCCAGCACCAUGAUGGCUCCACACAGAGUCCCAGUAAGCAGCGCCUCAGUGCAGACAGAGCUGCAGAGGGGUUCAGGCCAGAGCCUCCAGGGCAGCUCAGGGAGGGCUCCUAGAAGGGAAGAAGCCUGACUGUAUUCUGGGCAGAGCUCACAGUGAUGGUGCAGAGUGGCAGUCCGGGCUCUCCAGGGCCCCCGUCCUCGAGGUUCCUGGCCCCAGCACCCUGCACUUGCUCUAGUGUCCCUCUGACUACACCCCACAUGGCUGCUCCGACUCCUCUAGUGAGGCCUGGAUCCCAGGGAGUUUGGAAGCACCCAGCCGGAGUGGAGGAUGCGGAGGGGUGGCCUGAUGACCCCUCCCAUUAUGGCUUGGGGGCUGUUGGAUCUAAGGCCUCUGGGCAAAGGAAGGCAUCUGGGAGGGUGGGGGAGGUGCAGGGUAACCUCUGGUCAUGGGCGCUUCGGCCCAGCAACUUCCCCAAGGCCUCCAAAGGCUGUAGGAACAGCCAGACACAGGAAGAGGCGCUUCAUCUCCUCAGGCAACACAUGAAGUCUGAGGUUUCAAUGAGAGGCGUUUGCGCCACGUGCCCCUGGGAGGGUUGCAACAAUUAUACCAAAAUUGAGGUGUGAUUUGCAUCUAGAGACAGGCCCAGACACCAGUAUAUAGGGUUGUUUUCAACUUGAAUUUCCCUAAUAACUAAUGACACUAAGCAUCUUUUAAAUCUGCUUAUUUGCCAUCUGUAUUUCUUCUUUGUUGAAGGGCUCAUUCAAAGCUUUUGCCCACUUUUAUAUUGGAUUAUUAUUAUUGAGUUUGAGAACUUUCUAUAGCCUGUCUACUAGUCUUUUACCAGUUAUGAGUUCUAAAAGUAUCUUCUCCCAGUCUGUGGUUUGUCUUUUACUUUCUUAACCGUGUCUUUCAAAGAGGAGACGUCUUUAAUGAUGAUGGAGUCUCAGCCGUCAGUUUUAAAAAUGGUUUUUGUUUUUUGUGUCCUACGAAAUCUUCCAUUUUCUCCUGUGUUUUCUUCUAGCAUGUAGCAUCUUUCGAUUCUAGCUUGUGUGUACUGUACGUAUGUGCGUGUGUGCGUGUGUGUGUGCGUGCGUGCAUGUAUGUGUGUGCCUGUGUGUGUGUGUGUGUGUGUGUGUGAGGCUCUCUCCCUAAUCAGAGUCAGACUGCCUUGAGGACAGCAGUCACAGUUCAGCCAGCUUUGUUUUCUCCAUGUGCUGUGGUCCCCUGCAUGGUGCAGGCUCCGUGACUACAGAUGAGCCGUGAGUAGUGACAGGCCCCUGUGGAAUGUGUCUUUGGCCAUGCCGAGCUGGCUUCCGAGUCUUCCCAGCCCAGCACUGGGGAAAUGGCUCUGUUUUUCUGGGAGGCUCUGACACAGGCUUGUAGACCUUGCUGUUGUUUGUGUUCUCAGCUCAUAGCAGCUUCUCUCCAGUUCACCUUGGAGUCAGGUAACCUCUCCAAGUGCAGAAGGCAUUUCAGCUACUUCCUGUCCCUUCUCUGCAAGCAUCAUGAUCAUGCUUUUGGUGCUGUAAUCCUUCCACAUGGGUGGCCCACCUCUCCCAGCCAUCAUCCCCAAGUCUGUCUGCGAUGGUGAGGGGGGAAUGUGCAUGGUCUCCCCUCUGCUUAGUUCAGUGGGUGUCUGAGCACUUACAGGGUGCCAGCUCAGUAGCCCCUGACUUAAACCCUCUAAGCCAUCUGUAUUUGUUCACAACAGGAAAAGGCAUUUAUUGAACACAGAUGUGGCCAGUCCACACAGGCUGCUCCGUCCUGUGUGUUUGUUCUCCUUGGCAUUCCCUUGUCUGGUGGACACUUCAUUCUUUUGUAAGUUUUUCCUCUGAGGUUCUCUGUCAUUGGAUUAGUAAACACUUGAUUAACUCCGAGCCAAAAAUAAACAGAAGCAAGAACGUAAAUGAUGCUGCAGAUGAAACCAGGCCUGGUGGUCUCAGAGGGCCAUGGAGCCAGCGCAGUGAUGGCCUGAGGGGCUCAGCUUGCACUCUAGCUGGAGAAUACAGCAUUUCCACGGAUGCCUUGCACAGUCCUCGGGAAAUAUCAGCCUCCAUAGGUGCCUUCAACAAAAACCUGUUCCCUUCACCUGGGAAUUCGUAAGCACAGGGGGCUCCACAUGGUGAAUAAAGGCAGCAGCGUUAGCAUCCAGAUCCCGGCACGGCUGCAGACCGCACGGCGGGACACGGUCCUUGAGGAAUUGCCACACUGUCUUCCACAAUGAUUGAACUAAUUUACACUCCCAUCAGCAGUGUAAAAGUGCUAUUUCUCCACAUCCUUUCCAGCAUCUGUUGUCUCCAGAUUUUUUAAUGAUCAACAUUCUAACUGGCGUGAGAUGGUAUCUCAAUGUGGUUUUGAUUUGCAUUUCUCUAAUGACCAUGGACACAGGGAGGGGAGCAUCACACACUGGGGUC